GCCCUUAGAGUUUGAUCAUGGCUCAGGACGAACGCUGGCGGCGCGCUUAACACAUGCGAGUUGAACGCUCCGCCCUCUACUGCCCUUCGGGGCAGAAGAGGAUUACGGAGAGUAGCGGACGGGUGAGUAACGCGUAGGUAACCUGCCCUGGAGAGGAGGAUAACUCUGCGAAAGCGGGGCUAAUCCUCCAUAUGUUAGGGCAUCGUAAGAUGCCUUAAUGAAAGGCGGCAUUAAGCCGUCGUUUCAGGAUGGGCCUGCGUCGGAUUAGCUAGCUGGUAGGGUAAAGGCCUACCAGGGCGACAAUCCGUAGCUGGUCUGAGAGGACGAUCAGCCACACUGGGACUGAGACACGGCCCAGACUCCUACGGGAGGCAGCAGUGGGGAAUCUUCCGCAAUGGGCGCAAGCCUGACGGAGCGACGCCGCGUGAGUGAAGAAUGCCUUCGGGUCGUAAAGCUCUGUCAGUGGGGAAGAAGGCAGUCAUCAAGAAAAGGGUGACUGUUGACGGUACCCGCAAAGGAAGCCCUGGCCAACUACGUGCCAGCAGCCGCGGUAACACGUACAGGGCAAGCGUUGUCCGGAAUUACUGGGCGUAAAGGGUGCGCAGGCGGCAAGGCAA
rnacentral:rRNA from 1 species